rnacentral:ncRNA from 2 species
UUCUUAUCAAGAGUAGGUGGAGGGAAUAAGCCCUGUGAAGCCCGGCAACCGGCUAUAAAGUACGGUGCUAAAUCUUACAGCAAUGCUGAGAGAUAAGAG